rnacentral:rRNA from 1 species
CGGUGAAUACGUCCCGGGCCUUGUACACACCGCCCGUCACACCACGAAAGUCGGCAACACCCGAAGCCGGUGGCCCAACCCUUUUGGGGGGGAGCCGUCGAAGGUGGGGGUUGGCGAUUGGGGGUGAAGUCGUAAACAAGGUACC